rnacentral:rRNA from 1 species
UACAGAGGUCCCGAGCGUUGUUCGGAUUCACUGGGCGUAAAGCGUGCGCAGGCGGUGAUGUAAGACAGUUGUGAAAUCCCCGGGCUCAACCUGGGAACUGCAUCUGUGACUGCAUCGCUGGAGUACGGUAGAGGGGGAUGGAAUUCCGCGUGUAGCAGUGAAAUGCGUAGAUAUGCGGAGGAACACCGAUGGCGAAGGCAAUCCCCUGGACCUGUACUGACGCUCAUGCACGAAAGCGUGGGGAGCAAACAGG